rnacentral:rRNA from 1 species
GGGGAGUACGCCGGCAACGGUGAAACUCAAAGGAAUUGACGGGGGCCCGCACAAGCGGAGGAACAUGUGGUUUAAUUCGAUGAUACGCGAGGAACCUUACCCGGGCUCAAACGACGGAUGGAUGUUUCUGAAAGGAGGCAGUCCUACGGGACAUCCGUCGAGGUGCUGCAUGGUUGUCGUCAGCUCGUGCCGUGAGGUGUCGGCUUAAGUGCCAUAACGAGCGCAACCCCCAUCGCCAGUUACCAGCAAGUAAAGUUGGGGACUCUGGCGAGACUGCCGGCGCAAGUUGUGAGGAAGGCGGGGAUGACGUCAAAUCAGCACGGCCCUUACGUCCGGGGCGACACACGUGUUACAAUGGCAGGUACAGAGAGAAGCGAUGCGGCGACGCAGAGCGGAACUUCAAAGCCUGUCUCAGUUCGGAUUGGAGUCUGCAACCCGACUCCAUGAAGCUGGAUUCGCUAGUAAUCGCGCAUCAGCCACGGCGCGGUGAAUACGUUCCCGGGCCUUGUACACACCGCCCGUCAAGCCAUGGAAGCCGGGAGUGCCUGAAGUGUGCAACCGCAAGGAGCGCCCUAAGGUAAAACCGGUGACUGGGGCUAAGUCGUAACAAGGUAGCCGU